UUUACCCUAAAAGGGAAGAAUUUCAAUGGCGUCCUCUACCUGUUCUGUGCAAGCGCUUUGAUCUAAUUGAUCCUUAUAUGGGAAAGCCACCGCCACCUCCACGGAUGAGAAGCAAGAUGGAUUCCUUAAUAUUCACAUCAGAUUCUGUCAAAGCCACGAAAUUGGAAGAAAAUGUUACUGCAAAUAGAGAUCAAGUUUCUCUUCUUCAAACUGACUCUCAAAUAAGCAAAGAUGUAGCUGAUGGGGAAAAGGAAGUUGAGGUGCAAGUGGAAAAUGUGGAGAGGCCUGUUGACCUUUACAUGGCUAUUUUCUCCGAUGAUUCUGAUGAUGAGAUUGAAGCCCCUACUGUCAAUAAAGGGGAGGAUCCUGAGAAGAAGGUUGAAGUGGCUCAUACAACAUUAAAUCGUUUGAUAGCAGGUGACUUUUUAGAAUCUUUGGGGAAAGAACUGGGGCUAGAGGUCCGUUUCCUACUCAACGAAUAAAACCAGAACUUCUGCUUCCAAGAAUGAAUCUGUUAUUGCCAAUGCUGGGAAUAUGAAUAACCUGCCAGUUGAAAAUAAGGAGGUUCUGUAUAACCAGGAGGGUGCUGAAGGGACUGAAUCCCAAAAGAAUGAAUCCAUUCAAGGUAACCCACAGGGUGAUAGCAGUAGGUAUGUGGAACCUGCUCCAUCUGAUAAUAGAUCUGGCAGGACUGGUUUUGAAAAGAUAGCUCAAGAGGAUAGGAAGGUUAAAUCCCUCCCUAGUCAGCAUCGAAAACGAAGCAGCAGUUCAUCAGACGGUGAAAGGACCAGGAAAAGUUCAAGGAGACAUGGGUAUAGCAGCAGUUACUCGUACAGUGAUUCAUACAGUGAUGAUCAAAAUCGUUACCAUUCUAGGUUGAAAGGAAGAAAGAAAGGAUCCUCCCGAGAAAAGAGCAGCAGCAGAAAGCAUUCAAAACAUCAUAAGCACAGAAGCCGGGACUCUUCUGGCAGAUCUCAUUUCAGUACUGAAAAAGAUAGAGCAGAUUCCAAAAGAGAGAAGCGAAAAUGGAGGGAUUGAAUUUCCUUGCAUUAAAUUACAUCUUGGGAAAUCUCUCCAUGAAAUCUUUUGUGGAAGAAAUCACCAAGACAGAUUGUGCGCUUGAGCUACUUCUGAGGCUUCUCAUAGCACAUUGGUUUG
rnacentral:misc_RNA from 1 species